rnacentral:rRNA from 1 species
GAGGUUUAGCAAAUCUCUUAAAGCCGUUCUCAGUUCGGAUUGUAGGCUGCAACUCGCCUACAUGAAGUCGGAAUCGCUAGUAAUCGCGGAUCAGCAUGCCGCGGUGAAUACGUUCCCGGGCCUUGUACACACCGCCCGUCACACCAUGAGAGUUUGUAACACCCAAAGCCGGUGGGGUAACCUUUUGGAGCCAGCCGUCUAAGGUGGGACAGAUGAUUAGGGUGAAGUCGUAACAAGGUACC